rnacentral:rRNA from 1 species
AUUGAACGCUGGCGGCAUGCCUUACACAUGCAAGUCGAACGGCAGCGGGGACUUCGGUCCGCCGGCGAGUGGCGAACGGGUGAGUAAUGUAUCGGAACGUACCAUUCAGUGGGGGAUACCAACCCGAAAGGAUAGCUAAUACCGAAUAUUCCUUGAGCAGGAAAGCAGGGGACCGAAAGACCUUGCGCUGUUCGAGCGGCCGAUACCAGAUUAGCUAGUUGGUGAGGUAACGGCUCACCAAGGCUACGAUCUGUAGCGGGUCUGAGAGGAUGGUCCGCCACACUGGGACUGAGACACGGCCCAGACUCCUACGGGAGGCAGCAGUGGGGAAUUUCGGACAAUGGGCGCAAGCCUGAUCCAGCCAUGCCGCGUGAGUGGAGAAGGCCUUCGGGUUGUAAAGCUCUUUCGGCCGGGAAGAAAUCGCAUCAGCUAAUACCUGGUGUGGAUGACGGUACCGGAAUAAGAAGCACCGGCUAACUACGUGCCAGCAGCCGCCGCGGUAA